rnacentral:snoRNA from 2 species
ACGACCUUACUUGAACAGGAUCUGUUCUAUAGGCUCGUACCGCUUCAUCCUUUACCAAUAAGGAGGCAAGCACUCAAGUCUGGUUGAUGAGCCAGGACCUCUGCGCCAGAGCGUGAUUAACAGCCAGGAUGCUCCGGUUGGAGUCAUCCGCCGGCUGUAGAGGAUCGUUCCUGCCAGGCCCUGUCUUGGUCGGGGUGGCUCAGGGGUUGUCUGACAGACU